CGCACAUUGCGCCCGCUAGUAUUCUGGCGGGCAUGCCUGUUCGAGCGUCAUUUCAACCCUCGGACCCCCGGCUUGCUGGGGGACCGGCGUUGGGGCUCGGGCGUCCCCCGCGGCGUCCGUCCCUGAAAUACAGUGGCGGUCGCGCUGUAAUCCUCUGCGUAGUAAUGCACAUCGCAGCCUGGAGAGCGGUGCGGCCACGCCGUAAAACCCCCUACUUAUCAAGGUUGACCUCGGAUCAGGUAGGAAUACCCGCUGAACUUAA
rnacentral:misc_RNA from 1 species